rnacentral:sRNA from 1 species
UGGGAAAAAUGAUUCAUUGGCCAUUCGGUUUUGCCUCACAGCUAAAUUUUAAAACACAUCGAUACGUCGUACUCUUGAAAAAUGUGCCAGGAUGGAUCGUGUCCUAGUUUUCCGGCACGAAAGUGCGGUAUUUGUUAUGCCAUUUAUUGUAUUGUGAUAGGAGCUACUGCCACGCGGGAUAUCUUUUACUAUUUGGAAUCUUGAAAGAAAAAAAAACGUUAUUCAAAAUAGGAAAGGUUUUUAGCUACUUUUGGCCCAUAGUCUUUGUAGAGUUUACCUUUCCAUUAAUUGUCCAUAUUAUAAGCGUAUGCAGACUGUGUUCGUUAAGAGAUGAACUAUUUCCAUAAUAUGAGGACAAUUAUCAGGACAUUGAUUUUAUAUUUUUUGACAAUAUUUUGCUAAAUUUUCAGCUUCAUAUAAGUUUUUCCAAAUUCCCUGGUAAUCGGCAUAUUCUAAUUUUAGAAUGUUUGGAAGAAAUUCAGAGUCCUCUUGGCAGUGGCCAUCCCCCGGAUCAGAAUCAAAUGGAUCUCCUCCAUGAUCUAUAUGAAUAAAAUAAAACAGUGAAAUCAUUUUUGUAUUGUA